UGUCAACCAAUUAACAUUGAUAAAAGAUUUGGCAAGAAUAGUAUACAGAGGCUUGAAUUUUUAAUGUAAUUAAUGUAAUUAAAGGUUUGUUGGAAAUGUGAGACCAUUUUGUUCUCCCAGAGAAAAAGUGUGUUAAUUGUCUAGCUGGCAGGGAUCUACUUGAAUAUGUUUGCAGAGAAAAGCAGAAGAAAGCAUGGUUGCAGUAGGAGUAGUUAAAACAGAAAAACAGUAUGCUUAUAGAGGAAAAAUUACUCUAAAUUUAUUAAAAUUCCUUUAAAUUUGUUACUCAAUUUAAAUUUUUAUUGUAUCUUUUCAAUUUUGCUAUAGCACUAACAUGACAUAAGGCUCUGGGUAUUGGGACAAAAGAAUGCCCUUGUUUGGUAGUUGGGGUCGGGUUUGUAGUAUUGCAGUGUGCUUUAACAAGCAUGGGCUUUGACAUCAGACAUUUGUUGCCAUCUGGACUCCACAAGUGAAUUUGCUACGGGAUUUGGAGGAGGGAAAGGCACUGUUUCCAUACCUCAGUGGUUUUCUCAUCUGUAAAAUAAGUAUGUGAUUGCAUGGAUUGACUUACAUGAUGAAUAUAAAGUUGUUCAUUAGUACAGUACCUGUCAUAUUAAGUACUCAAUAAAUGCUAGUUAUUAUUAAUGCUGUGUUGUAGGUGUUCAGUAAAUAGUUGCCAUAAUGCUUAAAGCAGACAUAACUUGUUUUUAUUUUUGCAAUAAAGAUGAUGCCAACUUUUUGGUUUAAUGGAAAUGCUUUGAAUCUUUGAUAUUGUUGUAAUAUAGUGGCAAAGAAUUUUGAAUCCCAGCUUCUGGAGCUCAUAUCUUGAUUCUGCGAGUUACUUCGCUAUGUUACUUUGGGGGAAGUUAUUAAUCUCUCUGUGCCUCAGUUUCCUCAGUCGACUAAAUUGAAAUUAUAAUAGCACCUACCUGAUAGGAUUGUUGAGACUAAAUGAGGUAACAAUUUAAAAAUAAGCUAAUACCUGAUAAUUAGUUCUAUAUAUGUACUGAUUGGUCUAAACGUUAUUUCCAUUUUCAUGUCUUUACUUAAAAUACUGAAAAUUAAUUUUUUAUAGCUUUGUUUUUCAGUUCCAUGAAAUCAGCCUGCCUUUUCUUUUUUUGGUGAUACAUCCACAUUCUGUAUAGGUGAAAAGCAAAACAAACAAGUAUAAAACGAAAAUUAUGUAAGAAGUACACACAUCCUAGCAGCUUGGCAAGUGUCUGUAUGCUCUUGCCUGUGCCUAAAUCCAGAAUUAGAAUUCAUGCUUGGUGCUCCUGUGGAAGAUGUCUAAAUGUUAUGAGAAAUACAUGAUUAAAUAAAAAUGUGAAAUGAAAGCAUGGAGACUUGUUGAAAUAGGGGUAUCCACCAUGAUUAUAUAUGAUGGGGAGGAAAGGGAUUACUCCAUUUCUGCCCCUGCAGUCUGUAGGCAUGAUUGAUUACAUCAUUGGUCGCCGGUGAUUAACUCAGUCUCCAAGCCCUGUCGUGUCCCUGGAGGUUGGAGGGUGGCACUGAAAGCUCCAACCAUCUCAUCAUGCUUUGAUCUUUCCGAUGACCAGACCCCACCCUGAAGCUAUCUACGGGUCCCCAGCAACAUUCAUUUCGUUAUCAUACAAAUGACAUUCUUACAAUUUCAGAGAUUCCAAGGGCUUUAGGAAAUGGAGAUGAAGAGCAAAUAUAUAUUUCACAAUAUCACAAACAUACCCUUGGGAAUUAGACCUCUGAUCUAAUCUAGGCUCCCUCACUUGCCAUUUUUGUGACCUUGAACAAGUUGUUCAUCUUUUCUGGAUAGUUCUCUGUUAAAAAAAUUAAAAUAAAAAAAUGGUGGCUAUCAGGUUGUUAGGAGGACUAGAUAAGAGAACUAUGUGAAGGACCCUGCACAGUGCUAGCAACAAAGUUGUUUAGUAAGUGCUAUUUCAAUUUAUUUUGCUUCCAAGCUCAUGUGAGCUCCCUCAGUGUGUACCACCAAAUCACAUGAUGUGUAUCCCAGUCAAAUCUUAAAGGUCAUCCACCUUGAAUCUUUAAGUUAAUUAACGUGUGUUUUUAAAACUGCAUUAUAAGAACGUUAGGGUUUUUGUUUUGAUCCUAUGGAAGUUAAAUUUUUUACACAAGCAUUCAACUGUUUAGCUUCAAACUGAACAGAUAAAUAGUCUGUAUUAUUUCAUUAUGUAUUAAAAAAUGAUUAAGCCUGCCUCAGGCAGUUCAGGCAAAGCAGGUAAAAGAUUAUCAAGGAGUAACAUUAGAAAACACUAAUCAGAGUGCCUAAAAAGCUUUAUGCGGUCCAGGUUGUACAGGGAUGUUGGAACAGUAAAACAAACAAAACAUUACAAGGUAUGAAGCGUUCGAGAUAGGUAGAAUAGAGCAGGUUAUAUUAGAGAAGUCUCUUCUAAAAUUGUGUUGGCUAGCCUGGGAUUUGAACUUAUACCGUGUAUGUAUGUCCAUGUGUAACAGGUUGAACAUGCAAGAAGCAGUGUUCAUAAAAGGUGGCAAACUUGUUUUACUUGUUUCUCAGUCUUUUCAGAUCAGUACUUAUAAAACACUGAUAUUUACAGUAAAUAUCUUAUAUUAAAUAUUAGCUAACCCUAUUAAAUUGUGUGUCCUUGUGCUGCAGUCAUUUAAUGACCUCAUUCUUUGGUAAGUUGGCAUGUGAUUUGAGAUAGCUCUAAGUGCUAAUGGAUUGUUUGAAGGAGUUAAAGGCAAAACCAGGAAGAGAAAACUAUUUUUAGGAAAAAGCGAUCAUACAACAGGCCUUAAAUAGAAGAAAUGAGAUAUCUCUAUCUUUACUAUGUAACCUUUAAUUCCUUACACAUUUUGACUUCAUAUUUUUUGUAUGUAAAUGAGAAUGUUAUAGUCUUGUAAAUUCCUUUUCCUCUGUGACUACAUUCAGUUAUUUAUUUUAUUGUGUGUUUGUGCAUGUCGGUAGAGCACAGUAUUUAGUAGAAUGAGUUAUUGGUUAAACCACCUGGAUUCAUUUGUAAAAUGGGGCCACCUGUCUCUUAAAUUGUAAUGAGGAUUUGAUUAGAUAAUCUAGAUAAAUCACUUAGCACAAGAGUCUCCAGCCCCCGGACUCUUGACUGGUACUGGUCUGUGGCCUGUUAGGCACUGGGCUGCACAGCAGGAGGUGAGCAGGGAGCAAGCUAGCACUAGGGCCCAAGCUCCGCCUCCUGUCGGAUCAGUGGCAGCAUUAGAUACUCAUAGGAGCACAGACCCUGUUGUGAACUGUGCGUGUGAGGGAUCUAGGUUUCGUGCUCCUUACAAGAAUCUAAUUAAUGCCCGAUGAGUUGAGGUGGAACAGUUUCUUCCCAAAACCGUCUCAGGAAACCUGUCCCUGGUGCCAAAAUUUGGGGGACCUCUGACGUAGCACACUAUCUGGCACAUACCAAGCACUCAGAAAAUAUCCCAUUUCUCAAAACUCAGUUCCAGUGUCAAGUCUUAAUAGUAUAUUGAUCUUGGAACUCCAAGGUAGUUGGUCCUCUCUUUGUGCCAUAAAUGUGCCUUGUACUCAGUAGUGCUAAAUUGCUAUCAACUAGUGCUAAAUGUACUACUAAUUCAUCUGUGUGUCCACUUCCCUUCUUAGAUUGUGAGCCCCUUGAGGACAGAGAUGGGUUUACUCAUAUUUAUAAAUUCAUUGGCAUGAUAAAUAUUUGCUGAAAGAAUAAAAUUGUAUUCUUAUGUUUUAAGCAGGGUCCCCUCCACCUCUGAGUGGAAGAUGGUCUGGGAGCAAAGGUGACAGGUCUUCUAAAAAAUCUGGCCACAUUCUCAACCCACCACACCCCCGCUUUUUUAAACAGCUAUUUAAUUGCCAUUGUAAUCCUAAGGAUUGGAUCAAUUUUUCACUUCCCUUUUUCACACUUUUUUCCUUUUACUAAGAAAAUAAAGUAAUAAAGUGACUGCCAAAUGGAGAAAACUGUCCACUAAAUAUGAAUUAAUAAGUGCUAUUAUCAGAAAUUGUGUAAAAGCAACAUAAUGGCACUAUAAAAAGGUAUUAUCUUAGAAUCAAAAACCUUGGGUUUAUAUUAUAGCCCUGCUACUUUCUAGUCAUAUGACAGUGAUCAAGCUAUAUUACCUCUUUGGCUUGACAAAAUAGGGGUCAUCUCUAUUUCUGGCUUGUUAUGAUUGAUGUGAAAUAUUCAUACAAACUACCACUGUGCCUGGUAAGUAGAAGACACUCAAAUAUGUCUUGGAGUUACAGUUAAUACUGUAUCGUUUAAAUUUGAGAAAAACCAACUUUAAAAAAUCACAUAGAUACAGUUGUUUACUGCUAGAAAUUUUAUUUAAAUUAGUUGAUACUCUUGGUUAGGUAAUGAAAAACAAUGGUUUUAUCUCCAUUAUGCUGUGAUAGGGAAGAGUAACACAGUUCAAAUGGCAAAGGCAUACCUGACAAUUAAAAUGCAUAGUUAAAGGCUAAUACUUCCUGAACACAAGAAGACAAGUCUCUACUUGAUACUACUCUCCACAGUUAAAUCAUUGAUACUUUGUGCCAUACAGUGAAAACAGAACCAUCUAGGUGUUCACGGAUUGUAUUUUUCCUUAUGAAAGGUAGAAGGUUAGAGAAAAUUAUUCCCAAUACAAUUAAUACAAAUAAAAUUGGUUAUUAGGUGCCUUUUAAUUAGGCAGUAAGGGCAUAUGAAGCUUCAUUACCUAUGAGAAUUUUGUCAAAAUUAUUUCCCAGUUACCAUGUUUUAAAACAGCCUCUCAGAAUUCCCCACUUCUAAUUUCUCCUUUCUAUUCUACCAAUUUUACUCCAUACCUUUUUGCUAAAUAAACAUUUUCUUCCAACUCUGAGUUUGGUGUUUUUUUCAUUUGAUCUGCUCUUCAAAGUGUAUCAGCUAGUGAUUGAAUUAGGCUAUGGUGUAACAGAGAACUCUAAGACAGUAGCUUAAACAAGAUUUUUUUUUUAACCCCUGAGUCUUGCUGCCUUUUUCACAAAGACAAAGCUUUUUCAGAAACUCCCAGCUUAUGUCUCAUUUGCCACAACUGCGUAACAUGGCUAUCUUUUAGCUGUAAGAGAUGCUGAGAAACAUAGUUUUUUUGCUGGGCAUAUUGUCACUGAGCAAAAUCAAAGUUUUAUUUGGAUUAUUGUACUUACAAUUCACCUUUUAUGGCAAUUUAAGUAGUCAUUUGUCAUAGAUUGGAGGAUUUCCUGGAAGGGUGAAGAACUUCUAUAUAGGUUACUUAUUCUGACUAACAUAAAUUAUCCUACCACCACAAUCCCAUAACUCUAAACUUACAGAGAUGUCAUAGAAAACAACAAAUAUACACACAGCUAACCACAAAAGAAAAAGGAAAUCCCAGCUGCCAGAAGUGAAGAAAAAACAGCCAGAAUAGUGAACUCAGCAGCUGAAGGUACACUGACCUAGGUGGAUGAUAGUGUUGGCUGUGGGUCUCACCAAUGGACCCUGAGACUUUAACAGCAAGAGAUAUGGCCUGACUAUACAGGGAAGCUGGGACUGAGACCUACACAAAGCCAAGACCUUAGAAGGUGCUCCAGCCUCAGGAAGGAGGAUGAGCAAACUUCUACACAAUAACCCAGGGAAGCUACAAAGUUGUCUGAACCCAAGACUUUAGGGUGGAGAAAGAGGAAGGUGUCUGUGAGAAAGAGUUGAAGUUUACAUUUCAGUUUUGCUUUCAGAAUAUCCAUGCUUAGCUUAAAAAUGUGAGGCACAUUAAGUUACUGGCUUUAAUAAAGGAAUGAAUGAAAUGUACAGAAGUAUGUGUUCUCGGGGCCUCUUUUAAAGUCAUUAGGGGAAAGAAUUGGCAUAUAUUCAGACGCAUUUGAAGAAAUUAUAUAUUUUUGGAGAUGGAGUCUUGCUCUAUCGCAUGGCAUGAUCAUGGCUUACUGCAGCCUCAAUUUCCUGGGCUCAAGUGAUCCUCCCAUGUAAGCCUCCCGAGUAGGUGGGACCACAGGCAUGUACCACCUUGCCUGGCUAGUUUUUAAAAUUUUUGUAGAGAUGGAGUCUCACUGUGUUGCCCGAGCUGGUCUCGAACUCCUGGGCUCAAGUGAUCCUCCCACCUUGGCCUCCCAAAGUGUUACGAUUACAGUCAUGAGCCACCAUGCCUGGCCUGAAGGAAAAUUUUAAAACAGAAGGAAUAAGCUAGAAUGCAGCACAGAAGAGGUAGAAAAUUGAAAGUAAUUCAUGGAAGAUCCAAUAUACAUAUAUAUUUUAGGAGUUUAAGGAGAAAACAGAAGGUGUGAGGCAGUUGUGAACUAACAGAAUGUGUAGUAUACAACUCUUGGUAGAGAAAUGGUACGCACUGAAGUUUUUGAGGCGUGGGGGACAGGUAGCUUCCUUCUCUCAUGCAUACUCCUGCUGCCAAAUUACCCCCUAACGGCUACGUUAUAAUGAAAACAGUUUCAUGCCAGCUUCUGUUAUAUUAACCGAGCAAGAAAACUGAUCUUAGCAUGUUCUGCAGGCUAAAGGAAAUUGCUCUUGGCCCAUUUAGGUGCUCUAACCACCAUCUUGCCUGAAAGGUUCCUUUAAGAAGCAGAAUUCUAUUACUUUAACAAAAGGUGUGUUCAUGGCUGGACAAGAGCCUUUUAGGGGGUUAGACUAGGACAUCAUCCCAAAAUAUAAGGGCUACAGGCCAUGCUGGAUUCUUAUGGCCUCUUCUUGCAAUGGUGGUAUGUGUUACUCUGCUAUUAGUCAGUCUGAAAACCUUUAAUCUCACCAUCGGAGGCCCAUUUAAAAAAUUACUUUAGCAGGUCACUAAUAAAAAUUUCUACCAUUUAGUAUGAAAAUUAAGACAUUGUAUGUUGAUCAAGAUGCAGUCAACAAUACCUAGAAUAGCUUCCACUAGAGUAUGCAUUCUCUGAUUAGAACACUAGUUCAUCUUCCUAGUGAACUGUUCUAUCAGGAUGGUAGCAAGACUUAAGCGAUGACUUUACAUAAGUUAUGUGUACCACACUGUGUAUACUGGAGUAUUUCCAUGUAAAUUACAGACAACAGCUAUACUGGAAGCAAUAAAUGGCCAAGAAAUUUCCAGAGUUGACCAAAGACAUCAGGAAUGAUACUUGCUUCCAGAAAAAGAACCAAUGUAACAUUGGCUUAAACUGUUGUGCUUUUGCUUUUCUUUCAGAUGUAGGCUGUCCAGGUGUCCGGUACUAUAACUCCACAAGAUCAGUAGGGCCCCAGGCUUUUUCUGUUCUUUAUGAUCCACUCUCUACCAUGUAGCAUUUGUCUUCAAGAUCAAAAAAUGGUGGCUGUAGUGCUCACAUUCCAGAUAAGGAAGAAUGGGCAAGAAACAAAAGAUCCACUCCAAAUGUGAUGGCAAAAUUAAGACUUUUGAGUGAAAAAUGGAAAUUUGUCUUCAGUACAUACACACUGAAAGAAAUGUUGAAGAGAGUUCUUCAGGCAGAAGCAAAAUCAUUCCAAGGGAAAUCCUGGAAUGCAGGAAUAAAUGAAGAGCAAUGGAAAUGGUAAAUAUGUGGGUAAAUUUGAAGGAAUAUUGGCUGUAUUCUGUGGUUUAAAAUAUCUGUGGAAUUAAAAUGCACCUACAAUAACGAGACAGGAGAAGUUUGUACUGGAGUUUGUCCUCAGGUUCUAGCAUUAGGUAGGUAAAUGGUAAGAUUACUUUUUUUAGACUAUGAAGACAAGGGUGCAUGUUGUAAUCUCUUAAGCACUAAAAGGCUAAUAGAAUGUAUACCUAACAAUUUAAUGGAGACAAAAGCAUUUAAAAGAAGGCAAGAAUAGAAAAGGGACAUAAAACAAAUGGGUCAAAUUUAAAGUUGCAAAAUAGAAACCCAAAUACUUUAAAUGAGUCAUUAGUUGAAUUAAGUUUAAAAAUUUAUCAGGCUGAAAAUUCCCUACUACAUGUUGCUUACAAGAGGCAUACUUUAAAUACAAGGCCACACAAAAAGGUUGAAUGUAAAUGGCAUAGGGAAAAAAAAACACAGCAAACCAAAUAAAAACAGUUUGAAUGUGGUAUUGUCAGGCAAUGAGAUUUAAGGCAAAAAGCAUUACCAGAGAUAAAGAGGGACAUUUUAUAAUGAUGAAGGAAUUAAUUCACCCAAAACACAUAAAGAUCCUAAAUCUGUAUGUGUUGAAAACAGAUUUGAAAUACAUAAAGCACGAAUGACAUAUAAGAAGAGAAAUAGGUAAGUGUCUAACCAUAGCUGGAGGCUUAUGCAGCUUUUUCCAUAGCUGAUAGACUAUCCGGACCCUACCCCCAAAAAAUCAGAUGCAGAGGAUCUGAACUUUACAUAUAUGAAUACUUGAUUUAAAAAACAUAAUUCACAUUUUCUUCAAGUAAAUUUAUCAAAAUUUACCCUAUUUUGAGUCAUAAAGCAAACCAAUAAUCUCAAAAGAUCAAAAGCAUUCAUCUUACAUUCUCUAACACAGUGGAAUUAAACUAGAAAACAGUAAAAAAGAUGAUUAGAGAAACCCGCAACUACUCUGAAAUUAUGUAAUAGAUUUCUUGAUAGUCCCUGGGUCAAAGAAUAAAACAAAUUUAAAAAUAUUUUCAAGUGAAUAAUAUGACAUACCAAAAAGUGUGUUGCAGCUGAAGCAGUGCGUGGAGGAAAAUUUAUAGAUUUACAUGCAUACAUUAGAAAAGAAGCAAGGCUGAAAGUCAAUUACCUAAACUAUUUUCAAGUAGCUGGAAAAAGAAGAGCAACGAAAUAAUAAAAGACAAAAAGUCAGUGAAAUAACACACAAUAGAGAAAGCCAAAAUGUUGGUUCUUUGAAGUCUAAAAACAAUAAUAACCUCUACUGUUUAACAUAUUUGAGAUAUUAGCCAAUAACGUAAGGCCUGAAGUAAAAAGAUAGAACGUUUAGAAAGAAGAAAAUAAUACCAUUUAUAGACAACUGGUUGUGUGCAUAGAAAUUUGAAAAGACUCAACAAACAAAAUAACUUAUCAAGGUCACUGAAUACAAACUAUACAGAAAUUGUAUUUCUAUAUAUCAGAAACAAAUAGAAAUUGAUAAAAUGAUACCAUUUACACUAGUGUAAAAUAAAUACAAGAAAUUUUCCAAUCAUUUAAGCAUUUUUUUUUUAAUUCUAAAUAUAUGGAUAUACCAUGUUCAUGACUUGGAAGUCAAUUUUGUAAAUUAAUCUGUAACUUCAAUAUAUGAUAUUAUCAAAAUCCCAACAGUAUGUUGGAGAAAUUAACAAACUGAAGAAAUGCAAAGGACCGAGAAUAUCCAAGAUAAACUUGAGCAAUAAAACUGAAAAAUGUUCACCAACAGACAUAAGACCUGUGAUUAUAAAAGUGUAGUUGUAAUUAACACUGUUGUUGGCUGGCAUAAGGAUAGACAAAUAGACCAAAGUAACAGACUAGAGCAAAGUAGACUAGAACAAAAUAGAACAAAGUAACAGAAUUCUGUAUACGUGGUGAUCCACACAUUUAGGUCAUCUGUGAUUUAUGAGAAAGAGAAACUAUUGUAAUGGUACAGUCAAUUAGAUAGCUGUAUUGGGGAAAAAAGUAGACCCCUUCCUUGAUACCAUAUAUAUAGAAAAAUCAAUUCCAUGUGGAAUAUGGUUUAAAUGCGAAAGGAAAUAAUGAAACAGGAGAGUGUCUUCAUGUUUUGGGGUAGGCAACUAUUUAAAGGACAUAAAGCAUAAAGGAACAUUUUAAACUAAUUUGUGGUGAUAGAAUCAGGGUAGAGGUUAUCACUCGCCUGGCAAAAUUAAUCAAUAAGAAAAGAUAACUUAGCCAGACACAGUGGCUCAUGCCUGUAAUCCUAGCACUGGGAGGCUGAGGCAUGAGGAUAGCUUAAGACCAGGAGUUCAAGACUAGCCUGGGCAACAUAGUGAGACCUUGUCUCUACAAAAAUUUUAAAAAUUAACUGGGUGCAGUGGCAUGCACUUGUAGUCCCAGUUACUUGGCAGGCUGGGGCAGGAGGAUCAUCUGAGCCCAGGAGUUUGAGCCUGCAGUGAACUAUAAUUGUGUCACUACACUCCAGCCUGGGCAACAGAGCAAGACCCUGCCUGUCUAAAAUUAAAAAAAAAAAAAAAAAGCUUGAUAUCAGGAAAGAAAUAAGGCAUGAAAACGGAUAAAAUUAAAAUUAUUUGAUUUAGAAAGUGAUUGUGAAUUUAUGUGAAUAAAUUUGAAAUUUUAGAUAUUUUUUGAUUAGUGUUGCCAAAUAUGUAUUAGUAAAUAAGUCUCAAUCUGUUUUUUAAAAUCUACUCUGAAUAAUGCACAAGCUCUGGAUGAUUUAUUAAAAUACAUUCAUUGUGACCAAGUAAGGAUUAUUUCCAUAUGGGAGAAUGAUUUAACACUGUAAAAUCUUUUCACAUAGUAUAUACCAUGUUAAUAGGUUAAAGAGAAAAGGCAUGUUACUAUCUCAGUGAAUGCAGGGAGUUGGAGGGGGAGAACCAGCAAAAUGCAAGUUAUAUUCACUUAGGAUUUUAAAAAUAAAACAUCCUCUUAAUAGAUGAAUAAACGUAUUAGUACGAUAAAUGAUAGCUUACCAAAACCCAUAGUUAUUGUUACAAGUUAAUGGUACAACUUUAGAGAUGUUCCUUAAUGUCAGCAAUAGUACAGGAAUGGGAUAUUGUAUUAAUACAUCUGUUCCAUGUUGCACUGGAGAUCUUGGCCAGUGCAGUGAGACUAGAAGAAUAAAUAAUAGGCAUAAAGACUGGAAAGAGAGAAUCAAUUAUUGUUAAUGGGCAAGAUCAUUGUUUAUUUGAAAGUCCAAGGAAAACUACAAAGUAGCAAAACUAAUGUGAGUGUUGAGAGAUUUUGGAUAUAAGAGCAAUCUGCAAGAAUUAGUAGUGUUCUUUUCCACUUCAGUGUGUUUGAAAGUGUAUUAUUUGAAAGAAUUUCAUUCACAAUUAAAACUCUAAGGGGACCUAAUAAUACAUCCAAUAAAAAUAUGCAAGAUUUUGUAGAAGUAGACUAAAAUGAAUGGAGCAGUAUUCUAUGUUAGAGAAUGGGAAAAAUCAGUGCAUUAAAGUACCAGUUCUCUCCAAAUCUAUAAAUUCACUGAAGUUCCAAUCAAAUUCUCAACAAAACUUUUUAUGGAAUUUAAUCAACCUAACCUGAAUGUGGAAAGACAAAGCUGAGAUUUUUUUUUUUUAAACAGGAAAAAUAGGGGAGUACCUAUCAUAAAAGACAGUAGGGCUUAUAAAACUAUAGUGAUAACACAGCCCUUGUGAUGCCAGGAUAGACAUGUAAAUCUAUGGUACAGAAACAGAUACAUGAGAACUUGAUACGUGACACAGUGGAGAAAUUAGUAACUUUUCAAUAAAUGGCACUAGGACAAUUGCAUGUCUGUAUGUGAAAAAAUUAUAUACCCUUCUCACACCAUAUUUUUAAAAACUGGUAGAUUAAAGACCUAAAUGUGGCGGAGGGGGGAGGGGGCGGGAAUACCAUUUUAAAUAUUUUAGAAGGUAAUACAGGAAAAUUUGAACCAAUGUAAGGAAGGAGUUGUUGGAUGUGACUCAAAGUGGGAACCAUGAAGAAAAAGAGUCACACAUCUGACUAUAUUAAAACUAGAAACUUAAGUAUGACAAAAGACACUGAAUAUUAGAGGGCCAGCCACAGACGUGGAAGGUACUUACCUUGCAAUUAUCUACCAGGAACUGACAAAGGAAGUGUCCAAAUUACAUAAAGGACUACUUAAGGGGGGAAUAAAUGAGUGAUAUAUGAGAGAGAACCAAAAGGUCAAUUAACAGAAAAAUGUUUUAGCUCACUAGGAGUCAAGGAAAUGCCAGUCAGCACAGUUAGAUACCAUUUCACAUCCAGUCAGAUAAUAUCAGGGAUUGGCAAACAUGUUGAGAAAAUAAUUCAUACUUUAGUAAAGUUGAAAUUACAUAUUGCUUAUAACAGCAGUUCAACAUCUGUCUUUUUAUAAGACUAAAGUUUUGCAUCAUAUUUAGGUACAGAAAUUGUCAGAACACUUAAAGCUUGUAGGCAUUUGUUGCUGGGAGAAGACUGAAUUGCUUUUUUCAAAAACUGGAAAUCACAUUGAUGUGUUGUAAAAGAGAACCUUAGAUUUAGAGAGGGAAAAAAAACUACAGUAUUUUGUUAAAUUUAUCUACAUUUAAAGAUACUAAUAAAUGCAGUUUAUGAACUACCAGUCUCCUAUAUUGGUCAUAUUUUGACAAGUAAAGCUUUUUUUUUCAUAACGUCAAUAUUCACACAGAGGUUACAGUUCAGAUUAGGAGAACAUAUGUAUGAUAAAACAAUUAGACUAAAAAGGUCCUUUCUUUUUAUAUGAAAUGGCAGAAAAGCAACAGCAGUUUAUUGCUUAUGACAGAAUACAUAUGAUACUCGAAUAUUUCUUGAGAUCUUUGCUUAAAUCUAGUAUCUAUACAAAAUUUUUAUGUUCGCUAGAUUGUAAAUUCAGUUUUCUUACUAAGAAAGACUGAAAUUUAUUAAUAAUUUUGGGGUUCUAGUGAUUAGCAUUAGAGACUGAUUUGCUUUUAAAGAGAAUCGCAUAUUUUAUAUAUUUCCAAUUUUACAUACUUCUGAAAGAACAUAACUUUGUCAUUAAUAUAUGGCAUAUGUAUACAAUGAAAAAUGUACAAGGAUGUUUCUUACAGCAGUUAUUGAAAUAGCAGGAAGAAAAAGGUAACUUAAAAGACACUUAGCACUAGAGUCUCCAGUCACAUCUACUCCCUGGCCCAUGAACUAAGAACGUUUUUAACGUGUGUAUGAAAGGAGUGACUUAAUAGAUCUGGCGUGUUGAAACCUGCACCUUUCAAAGAAAGGUCUAGCCCUCAACUUGCUCCUGGGAGAUCACAGCGCUAAGCCCCUGGAAUAUCCUGCCUGAUGCAAGGCCUUUGUUUACCUGGGGCCUUGGAUCACACCAGAUAGUUUAUGCUACAGAUUUAUGGUGAGGGCAUUGCACCUUGCAGUAUCAAUUUAAUCGCCGGGGGAGGUGGAAACUGAAUAACAUCUGCCAUUUCUGUUCUCCAUGCCUAUGUGACUAACACCCAAUAAAAACCUUGGACACCAAGUCUCAGCUUCCCUGGUUGAUAAUAUUUCAUAAAUGACCCACACUCAUUCAGAGAGGAUUAAGUGCUGUGCAUGCAUCUCCUGUCAGAUGGGACAACUGGAAGCCUGUCCUGCUCUCUUCUGAACUCUUUCCUAUCUGCCUUUUAAAACUGUACUGAUUUUAAACUGUACUUUUGCUCUAAUAAACUAAUUGUCAACGUAACUUUUCUGAGUUCUGUGAGUCAUUGAACUGGACAGUGGUCUUGGGGACCCUGCCAUAACUGUUUAAAGAACUGUUUUUUAAAAAUAAUAUUUGAUAGAGACUGUAUGUUCUGCAAAUCCUAAAAUAUUUGCUAUUUGGUCACUUACAGCAACAGUCCCCAACCUUUUUGGCACCAGGAACCGGUUUUGUGGAAGACAGUUUUUCCAUGGACAGGGGUAAGGGGG
rnacentral:lncRNA from 1 species